rnacentral:rRNA from 1 species
CUUUUACCGGUCCAAUUGACCUGGCCUUUAAUUGCGCGGCGCUAAACCUUACACAACGGGUUUUUUUAUUCUGAACUAUUACUUUGGUCUGGCUAAGAAAUUAGUUGGGCCAGAGCUGAUUUAAACUUCAAUUUUAUUGAAUUGUUAUUUUAAUUUUUGUCAAUUUGUUGAUUAAAUUCAAAACAAUCUUCAAAACUUUCAACAACGGAUCUCUUGGUUCUCGCAUCGAUGAAGAACGCAGCGAAAUGCGAUAAGUAAUAUGAAUUGCAGAUUUUCGUGAAUCAUCGAAUCUUUGAACGCACAUUGCACCCUCUGGUAUUCCAGAGGGUAUGCCUGUUUGAGCGUCAUUUCUCUCUCAAACCCCCGGGUUUGGUAUUGAGUGAUACUCUUAGUCGAACUAGGCGUUUGCUUGAAAUAUAUUGGCACGAGUAGUGUUGAACAGUGUUGUCUGAACAUCAAUGUAUUAGGUUUAUCCAACUCGUUGAUACAGGUGGUGCGAUUCUUCAUUAGGCUUUGCCUUAUAAAACACAAACAAGUUUGACCUCAAAUCAGGUAGGAUUACCCGCUGAACUUAAGCAUAUCAAUAAGCCGGAGGAAACCCUUUUUUUAGGUAAAACUGCCCCCAAAACCAAUAAAAGAAGGGGAGCGGCUUCCCUUUUUUAAGUGUUCCCUGGACAAAAAAAAUGAAAGGAGAGGCGUGUUUUGUUGUAAGAUGACUUCCCUGAUCCAUCAAAGACGUGCAUGGGCAUUUUCCCGAAAAGCUAGCCCUUGCUUCGCACAACAGAGCAGAGAUUCUAAAUCGAUGAG